GAUGAAAACGCAGCGAAAUGCGAUAAGUAAUGUGAAUUGCAGAAUUCAGUGAAUCAUCGAAUCUUUGAACGCACAUUGCGCCCCUUGGUAUUCCGAGGGGCAUGCCUGUUCGAGCGUCAUUACACCACUCAAGCUAUGCUUGGUAUUGGGCGUCGUCCUUAGUUGGGCGCGCCUUAAAGACCUCGGGGAGGCCACUCCGGCUUUAGGCGUAGUAGAAUUUAUUCGAACGUCUGUCAAAGGAGAGGAACUCUGCCGACUGAAACCUUUAUUUUUCUAGGUUGACCUCGGAUCAGGUAGGGAUACCCGCUGAACUUAAGCAUAUCAAUAAGCGGAGGA
rnacentral:misc_RNA from 1 species